GCCAAAACUAUAAAACUCUUGGAGAACAAAAGAGUAAAUUUUUGUGACCAUGGGUUAGACAAUUGUUUCUUAGAUAUGACAUCAAAUACACAUACAACAAAUAAAUAAAUAAAUUGGACUUCAUCAAAAUUAGAAGCGUUUGUUGUUCAAAAGACACCAGCAAGAAUGUAAACAAACCACAAAAUGGGAGAAAAAAUUUGCAAAUACUAUGUCUGAUAAGGGAUUUGUAUCCAGAACACAUAAAAAACUCUUAUAACUCAUCUGUCACUUCCAUCUUAGGUUUUCAAGUUAUGGUCCUAAGCCCCUUUCCUACAUCCGUCUUAAAAUAUCAUGUCCAGAAGUUCAGGAAUAAGAUGAGAUUAUUCCAAGCCACGCUCAUUUAGGCACCUUGAAAAUAGGUUUUUACUUACUUUUCCUAACCAGCCUUUAAAGUUAGGCAACAUUUUACAAAUUGAACUCAGAGAGGCUAAGCUCUUGUCCAAGGUCACACAGCUGUGAAGUAACAGACCCAGGAUUUGAAACCAUGUCUGGUUUUAUUUGUCAUUCCUGACCUGAAUUAAUUAAUAGACUAGAAAUCCUCCAUUCCUUCAACAUUGUAGACAAACAAGGAUUCGCUACAUGAGCUGGAAGGAGUCUACGGAGGAGCUAAACUUCUCCAAGCAGCUGGAGGUUGUUAAUCUCAGCGAUGGACGUUAGUCUGAGGCCAGGCUUAUUUGUUAUAAUUAGAAGUCCUUAAAAUUUCAGAAGGGCUCCUUGUGUGCUGAGCUGGCUGCUCUUUCUCAAAAGUGAAAAGCAAACCUUUCAUUUCAUUUUACUUUAUUCUGUUUUUCUUACUACAGUGAGGUAGUGUCUGGGUGAGAACAUUCCUUCACUUCUCCUUCCUUCUCCCAGAGCACCCUUUUCACAAAAGCCUUUUAACUCUGGCAUUUUUCAAAAACUUGGCAGUCAUUUCGAGUAGAGCAUAAAAUUAGCCUUUUAGGCUGAAUGAUAUUUUUUUCCAAAAACUUCUGGAGCGAUUGCACUAUUUGGCGGUGAGUUGAGAACAGGGAACGUGUACCCGCCCUCGAUUUGGAGGCGCAUCCCCUCAGCCUGCUGGUCCCCUCCGCCUACCGGUCCUGGGCGCGCAGGGGGAGCCAGCGGCCCUUGCAGACUCCAGGCUGCUGGCCGUUGAAGUCAUAAAGCAGGCAUUGUUUGACAGGGUGGCUGGAAGCAGGGCUGUCUCAAGUCGAGCUAUGACAACCGACAAGACUGUGGAAAACAGUCAACAAAUUGCAACCGUCCUCCAGAGACUUCCUGAAUUCCCUCGGAGAUUACCUUCUUGAGAACAAAACAAAUGUCUACAACAAGUGGGAGCAGGGGAUUCAAGUUGAACAUCAGCAAUGAAGAAAAGCUUAAAUUCAGACCAAGAACAAAUGUGUAUGUGCCUGAGUGUGCCAUAAUCCUUGAAGAACAAUGGAAAGUGUCCUAGAUUUAAAAAUAUAUGUAAACUACGAUCAGGAAGGGGAAAAAAGUGCUGGACUUGGAAAUCUCAAGUUUUUAAACUUCAUUCCUUUUUAACCUUCGGAAAGUCAUUUAAGUUCUCUCAAACAGAGUUUCCGUAUUGUUUUACAUAGGUAAUCUCUCAUAAUUUACAAAAAGAAGAUAAUAUAUAAUUUCAUAGUUAUGAGGAUUGAAGAAGUGCAAACUAACUCAACGAAAACCACAUGGCAUAUAUUUGGGAAGUCUGAGCUUUGGACCCUUAUAUACUCAGCAUUAAAACUCUAUUCAUUCCACAAAAUGACAUUCAGGAAGAUUACUAGACAGUAGAGGACAUCAAGAUUAAGAUGGUCAAUAGGUCAUAACCCAGGCAGGUAGAUAGAAACCAGGACAGAAUUGCCAAUAGGCCAGUAUGACCAUGGAACCUAAGAGGGCAAGACAAAGCCAGCAUCAGACCUAGGUUCAGGACAUUCUGUACUUGCCAGUCCUCAGUAAUGGAGAUGUCCAGCUGCCUCAGCCAAGGACUUAUUCUAUGCUUUGGUUAAGACUUAGUCCACCCAUCCAUCCAUCUACUCAUUCAUCCAUCCAAAUCCAUCUGUCAUCCCACCCAUCCAAUGUAUACUGAGCUAUUUCUACAUGGCAGGUACCAAGCUAAGUACUGAGGAUGCAAUUCUGAGCAAACUGCCUCAGUUCUUGUCUUUUUGGAGUUAUAAUCCAGUGGGGUCUUGAGAAUAAUUUAUAUAAUAAUCACAUAAAUAUAUAAACAUGAAUUGUGAUAAAUGCUAUAAAGAAAAGGUACCUGUGGCAAAAAAAUAACCUGUAAAUGAGGACCUGAUCUAGUUUCCCCCAAAGAAGGGAAGUUUGACCUGAAUGGGAGUGGGCACUAACUGUGAGAAGGGAGAUGUGAGGACCAUUUCUGACAAUACGACAUCACGUGCAAAGGGCUUGAGCCUGGCCUUUCAGUUCCUCAGUUGCACUGUGCUCCCUCUGUGUGGCUGUAGGUCCAAGACCUAGUGGCAGAGUGGUAGGAAGUGCGAGAGGGCAGGUGGGCAGGGCCAGCCCCACACGCCGGGAAAACGUUUUUUUCUUUAUCUUGAGAAGCCUGGGAAACCUGGGAAGGGUUUGGCGGAGGGUGAAUUGAUAAUCUGUUUACAUUUUGAAACUGUUACUCAGACUUCAAAGAUUCUGGUUGAAGAAGAUGAGUCAUGGGGACAAACUUGGUGAGCUGCCGUAUAGUCACUGCCAUUGUGCCCAUUGUGGUGCCAUUAGUAAAUUACGCCCUGGGACUGGAACUCGAGGCCUACAAGAGGAAUCAGCCCGACAAUAGGAAAUGCUAUAGGUGGAUGGUAGGGAAGGAGAGGAGACUGACUCGAACUGAGCACCAACCACGUUAAACGCUUUAUGGACUGCCUUAGUUUCCUAGGGCUGCCGUAACAAAGUUCUGUGAGCUGGCUAGUUUUAAAUAGCAGAAAUUUAUUCUCUCACAGUUCUGGAAGCUAGAAGUCCAAAAUCAAGGUGCCCACAGGGCCAUGCUCUCUCUAAAGGCUCAAGGGGAAAAUCUGUUACACACAUUCUUAGCUUCUGGUGUUGCCAGCAAUCCUUGACGUUCCUUGGUUUGUAGACACAUCAGUCCAAUCUCUGCCUCUGUCUUCACACAGCCUUUUCUCUGUGUCCCAUAUGACCAUCUUCUCUAAGGACAUUCGUCAUAUUGUAUUGGGUUGCAUCCUAAUGGCCUCAUCUUAACUUGAUUACAUCUGCAGAGACCCGACUUCCAAAUAAGGUCACAUGCUCAGGUACCGGGGAUUAGGAAUUCAACAUAUCUUUUUGCAGUCACAAUUCAACCCAUAACAAGGAUGUUAUUAUUCUCAGGCCCCAUGACAAUGUCCACAUGACAAACACCUCUUCUCUGCUGGUGCCUUCCCUCCACCAUCUCUAGCAAUUGCUGCUGCACACUGAGUGCCCGCUAUGUGCUUGGAGUGUUAUUGCUUUAUGGGCAAGGCACGCAACAGUCCUCUGGGGAAGGUGUCCCCAUCCUCAUGUAGCAGAUGGGGGCAUGAAAAUUUGGGGAGGGUUUUCCAUUCUGCACAGCUGGGAAGUCAUAGAUUGGCAUUUGUGCUUAUGGUUUUUUGUUUGUUCCUGAGCCUUAGCUCUCUUAUUUUUAUCUCUCUGAAUCCUGGGAAGGUGAACUCCUACCUUAGGAUCCUGUGCACUCAGGACACCUCCUGCCAAGAGAGAUCUCAGGGCCAUCACUGCUGCCUCCAGAGGGAUCUCAGAUGGGGGCCUUCAGGAGAACAGGGCAAUGAUCUGGGAUUUCUCCUCUGACUUUUCAACUAGCGUAGCUUGUAAUUAUCUUUUGAAUAAUACCACUCUCUGCCACAUUCUAAUUGUUAAAAAUUAUACAAUCAAAAUCCUCAUUAAAAUAAGUGUGCAUCAUUAUUGGUGUAAUUAGGUUUAAAUGACAGAGUUUUAGGGAAAUUGGGUCUGCUAUUCUCCACUUCUCUGUCUCUCUCUCUCCUUUCUUUCCUUCCUUCCUCCUUUGCUCAUUCCCUCUUUCUUUCUGUUUCCUGUAUCUGUGAACUGUGUGUGUGUUUCAGAAAAUAACGGGAACACAGGGAGGCACUCAGCCUUUUCACCAUACGUCUAAUCCUUGGUCAAGUGACAAUACUAUGCAUUUCUCUUUUACAGUCUUAGUCAUGAGAAGCAAAGAGUCUCCAUUGCCCUUAAAGCAAUCCCAUGAAAUUAGCAAAAGAAAAACAGACUGGACUUGACUUUGCGUUGCGUAGAUCCGCUGUCUACAUCUACACUUCAGUUUUGCCUUGCCCUUUAAGUCAUCAUUUUACCUUUAGCAAGGCAGCGGGAUGCAGUAGAGAGAGUACAGGCUUUGGAAUCAGAUACCCUAGUUCAAAUCCUGAUUCAGGCACUUCUUUGUGGUCUGAUUUUAUGCUUCUUGUUCUCUGUCUGGCCCUUAAAUUUAUUCAUUUAUUUGAACUUUCACAAACACUUACUGAGCACCUUCUUAUGAUGUGCUGAGCGCUGUUCUAGGUAAUGAGGAUGGAACAGUGGAUGGAAAUGUCUCUGGUCUCGAGGAGCUUACAUUCAAAUUUUGGUGUUUCACGCAUUUUUUGUGAUGUCUGAGAAAUCUGUUCACUCAGGUGUACUCAAUGUAUUAUGUCGCCCAAAUCCAUAGCUACCACAUAUAGAUGAAUCCCUGAUAUAAUUGGUAGCUGAGAUCUCUCUGCAAAACCACUAAGUUCAAUCUCCAUUGGCCCCUUUCCAUUUGGUUGUCUCCUAAAGCACAUAAAACCCAAUGUUCAUAAUCAACUCCACUGAUGAAUAUCUUAGAGUUGCUUAACAACAUAGCCUAAGAAAUGUGUAGUAAUACAUAGAAAAACACUAAGAACAGGGGCUGAUCCCGUGGCCGAGUGGUUAAGUUCGCGUGCUCCGCUGCAGGUGGCCCAGUGUUUCGUUGGUUCGAAUCCUGGGUGCGGACAUGGCACUGCUCAUCAAACCACAUUGAGGCAGCGUGCCACAUGCCACAACUAGAAGGACCCACAACGAAGAAUAUGCAACUGUGUACUGGGGGGCUUUGGGGAGAAAAAGGAAAAAAUAAAAUCUUAAAAAAAAAAAAAGCACUAAGAACAAUGCUUCGCCCUGUCUUGCCUUGUUUGUGCUUGUACCAUCAGUAGACAGUCUAUCAUAUAUGUUAAAUAACUGAUGAAAUGAAUGAAUAAGGAGCACGCAGUCCAGGAGAGAAGAUAGAUGGGGGAAAGAAUCUUCUACAGUUCUUCCAGAACAUAGAAAGUCACCGAAUCCAGCCUAGGAGGUAAAGUCUUAACUCCUAAAGUGGAGGUUUUAACAAAGUGCUCUGGGAAGGCAUAACACAAGGCCUGGCCAAGUCAGGAAGUUCUUUACUGAGGGGGUAACACGUAGCUUGGGUCUUCAAGGAAUGGUAGAGAUUUUUCAGAUGGAGAAAAAUUGCAGGAAAAAAAGACAAGCAGAAUGGGUGACGGAGAAGAGCCAUGACUGAUUUGCUGGAUGAGCUGAAUUUGAUGGAGUGCAACCUAACACACCUUAAAAAAUGUUUCCCUCCUCUGUCAUCAAGUCCAUUCUGUCAUCUCUCCCUUUCCAAAAUUGAAGUGAUGUUUGGAAAGAGUUUUUAAAUCACUGUUGUGUAUGCAUUAGUCAGCUAGUCCCAUCACAAUGCUUUGUAACAACCAUUUCCAAACUCAGUGGCUUACAGCAGUGAGCAGUUAUUCUCAUUCUCCUGGCCUGCAGGGUGACUAUGGUUCAGCUGGCCUAGAUUAGGCUCGGCUGGACAGUUCUCUGGCCGUGGGUCAGCUGGAUUUGACUGUGGGCUCUUGGUCUGCUCCACUGCCUAGCUCUGGCCCAGGUGGAAGGGCUCUGGAUAGGCUAUGAAACCAGCAGUGAGAAAGGGAGGACGCAGUCUGUUCUGUCAUCCUUGAUCAUUUCUGUAGUCCUUAGAGCUGCUCACAAGCAUUCCAGUUCUCUCUCCUUCUCAGAACAGGUAAGAUUAUACUUGGACACCUACUUAAAGUUAGCUGUGGCCGUUUGACUUGUUUAGCCAUAAAACUGUGUAACUUCUGGGUAGGAGCUAUAAGAACCAGUUCAUGCUUAGCCAUCUUCUCCUUUUCUCUUCUUGGAGACCAGCAGUAUUCAGCUUGGGUCUCUGGGUGAAACGAUGAGCAGAGCUCUUGGGAUGGACGUGUAGUGUGAGUACAGAGGUGUGUGUGUGUGUGUGUGUGUGUGUGUUACCACAGCAUAACUUAGCUUUUCCUUACUGAUAAUUCUUCCACUCUCCGUAUCUCUGUUGGAUCUGGUGUUUCUGGCUCCUCCACUGCAUGUGAAGGUGGAUGAUGAAACAAAUGGUACAGUUUUAUGUAGCUGGUCCAGUUGUAGUUCUCCCUUAACUGGUAAAUGCUCUUUGACACUGCAGAUAGCUAAAUGCUGACUCUUCCCUUAUGGGAUCUCUUAGACAUUCCUUACAAUACAAGGGCUGGAAUUCCUCAUUUUGCAGUAUUUCCUGAGAAGGACGAUGCUUGAUCCUACUGAUGGUUUUUGAAUCCGCCUCAGUUCCUGCUUCUGGUGAGAUUCCCCCAGUGGUUUUCUGCUGGUGUCUUCUACCCCCCGCAGGAAGACCUCUUGGAGAGGGUCCUUUUGAGACAACCCUAAUCCAGCUGUCCCCCACAGUGUCCCCUACACACAUAGGAAGCAUUCCCUUGUUGUAUUGCUGGAGAAGUGCUGUUCCCACUCCAGCUUUCUUCUGUCUGCUCCUGGGGCAGCUCCAGCCAGCCUUUCCCCUAAAGGCAAGUGUCCAACACCAUCUCUGUGCCCUUCAACUCUUUAAUGCACAAAUCAAUUUAUCAGAAAACUCUCUCACUGUAGUCUGUGGAGCCCUAUGUCAGAACUGGAACUCAGGACUUCCUUACACAGCUGUUCAUGCCUCCCCAGGGAGAGGAGGACAGAUGCCUCUACCCAUCCUUCUAGACUGACAACUUUCUUGAAAAAAAAGUCUCUGAUCAAUCUACUUAAUGAAUCUCUGGGCUUCUCUUGUAGAUAGUUAGGUUUGUAGUGAGUUUUGGGCUACGGGUCUCAGGACUUGUUUUGUCUAUCGCUCAGAAGAGAUGGGCCUAGCUCCCCUCUAGAGAUCAUAUGGGAAGUUAACCUCUAUCGCCCCAGCUUUGGGAUCUCAAUGGAAAUUACAGAAACAGAUAAACAUGUUAAUUUGCUGUUUUGCUGAGGUUUUAACGAUUACCACAUAUCUCAGGAGAAGGGAGAAGUUUUGUGUGACCAGAGUAAAUGUUUUCUGGCUAGGGAAGAGAUAGAGUGUGGGGAUGGGCAGGCAGGCUGGGCCUAGGUCAUAAAAGCUUUCAAAGUCCUGUUUUCCAUGGUGCCUGGUAUCAUACCUUUUAUUCCAUCUUUCUCUGAACUUAUGAGGGUCCUCAGUCCAACUUAGACUCUACCCCUAUCUCCCUAGCACCAUUUUUUUUUUUACCACCUGUAGUAGCUUGAAAAGUGUCCCAUAAAAUUCACAUCCACUAGGAACCUCAGAAUGAAAACUUAUUUGGCAAUAGGGUCUUUGCAAAUAUAACUAAAUUAAUAUGAGGCCAAACUAGAUUAGUGUUGGCCCUCAAUCCAGUGACUGAUGUCCUUAUGAGAAGACAGUAGGACAUACUGAGACAGAGAGAAAAACACCAUGUGAAGACGGAGGCAGAGAUUGGAGUAAUGCAGCUAUAAGCCAAUGAUCACCAAGGAUGGUCAGGAGCCAACAGAAAUGGAAAGAGGCAAGAAAGGAUCGCCUCCUAGAGCAUCUGGAGGGACUACAGCCCUGCCGACAGCUUGAUUUGGACUUCGGACCUCCAGAACCAUGGGAGAAUAAAUUUCUGUUGCUUUAAGCCACGCAGUUUGUGCUAAUUUGUUAUAGCAGCCACAGGAAACUAACACAUCUUCAUCUAUUGCUUCUGUAUCCAUUUUGCAUUUUCCCUUCCAACCAGAACACAAGUCCUUCAGAUGGCAAGAGUCUGGUUCUUUCUCUUUGGAUUUCCCCCAGCAUAGUCCUUUGAUAUGGAGACAUUUAUUGUAUAUUUGCUGCAAUAAAAGCAUUGAUGUAUAGCUGAUAAUUAGCUUUAAUUUGAAAUAACUUCACAACAAACUGGAAAUUUAUAACAAACACAGAAGGAGUAUGAAUGGAAGAAAUGAAUCAUUUUAUGCUAUUUACCUCCUACUAUUGUUUCUGCCUCAUGAUAGAUCCCGUCUCUCAUUAACUUCAAAUUCUCACUCAAUUAUUUGGGUCAAUUCAUAUCCUUUAGAAACAGUUUGCAUCUCUCGUCAACCCAUUUAAGCUUCAUCUGAAGGAGUGAACUGAUUAAAAAAGCGGAGUGAAAUAAAAAUAAUUUUGAAACUGCAAGUAAACAGAACAUUAUUAAAAAUAACUUGGAUAAUAGAUUUAGGAGAGUGUAAUUUUAUUUUAAUUUACACGUGGAGUGCUAAUUGUUCAAUUAUUAGAACACACAAAAGGAAAGAUAGUGUGGAUCUUCAGUAACAAAUGUCUUAUGUAGCAUAUUUCUGUGAAUUUCUCAGGGACAGGUGCUGUGAACAAGACCCUUAUUUUAUUGAAUUUUUACUUUGACCAUUUGUUUAAAAAACAUCUCUCUGUUACUAGGAGGAAAGAAGCUUUUUGAGAUAAAAUAGCAUACAAUGAAAAGGAAUUGUUCUUAUCAUAUAAUAUGUUAUUAAUUUAAGAUGAGGAACGAGGGAUAAAAUUAUCAAAGCAACUGGAAUAUGAAAACUGAAAAAAAAGAGAUUACGUUCAUUUCACCUACUGUGUACGUUGUGGGUAUUAUGUACAUGAUCACAUAUAGAAACAAUUAAAGAACUGGAGGGAAACAUACCUGAGUUGCAGUAGAAACUUUAAGGUCUCAAGUUAAAUGUCUUGCAUGGAACAUUCAGAUUGCAAAUGUUGUUUCUGAAUUAUCACAAUUCCAUGCUGGUGGGCUUGGAUUAAUGAGGACUGACUGCGUAUAUAAAAUGGGGAAGUAAUAUAUGGACAGUAUUUCCUUGUUCUUUUCCUAAUAAGUCAUUCCCAGAUGGUGAGUUACACCCCAGAGACUGAAGUUUUCAAGUUGUGUUAAUUUUUUCCAUCUUCCUUCCUGCUGAUCGAUAUUGCUACCAAAAGCUGCUUUCUGCGAUGAAUACAAUUUAGCUAACGAGGAAGUAGGCAGCACUUCUGUUUGAAUUAUGGAUCGUGUGCUGAGAAAGAGGCUUCUCCAUAUGUCACUUUCAUCAGAGCGAGUGAAAGGAGGAUUCAUAUUAUUAUUUUCUUUUAGCCUGAAUGGCUUAAGUAGCCAGCUUUCUAGAUUUGGUGGCUCUUUGUGUGGGUGGGUAAAUAAUCUUUGUAAGUGGACAAUUUCUGCCAAUAAAAUGUUGCCAGCCAGUGGCAGUCGGGAAAUCAGGGUCCUGGUUCAGACUCUGUCCUUAUUUUCUUGGAUGACCUUGGGCCAGGUGUUUGAUCCUUACAGGUGACGAAGCUUCUCUCUUGACCAAACACUAGCCAGACUCCUCUGAGCCCUCUUCUUGACUAGGCCUCAGCUUUGGCCUGGAAAGCCUUGCACAGACACUAACAUAGUUUCUAACAGCUCAAGGCCACAUCCCUAAGAUGACCCCAGCCCUCCUCAAAGUGGCUGCCUGAGAAAACUCAAGGCUUCCAAAAGAAUUGACUGUGCGUUCCACCCAACACCUCAAGAUGGGGCCUCUGUCUCCCAGACUCUGUGGGAAGGAAGGAGCAAACCCAGAUGGGUUCACAUGAACCAACUCCCCCCCUUCCCGAUUUUUCUACUUCUUUACUUCUGUGACUUUAUCAAUCCCCUGCUCACGUGCCUCCCUGCAUCCUCAUUCUUCCUUUAAAAUGUCUGUCAUCUCUGUGCGGGUCCAAGUUGGGUUCAGUCCACACUGGACUCUUUUGAAGUGGUAUAUUACUGAUUAAAAUCUGUCCUUGCCACUUUAACCAGUGUCUGACUUUGUUUGUCUUUGUCAGAGACCACCAUUUCCUUAUAACGGAAGAAGUAGAUAAGAACCAAAGUCCCCGUCAGCUCUGGUAUCUCCUGAUUCAAUAUGUUACUUUCCAGGGUUCUCUGAGGAAAGUAGCGGUCAGCUGUGUGUGGAAUUUGGCACCUUCCACCUGUUUUCUGAAGCUUCACCUACUCCCUUAGCCAAGGGAGUUUGCCCUGUCAAUCUUCCUUAUUGAAAUAAGGAUAAGGUCCUUUGCUAUCACCUCACUGAAUGAAAUUCUUGUUAAAGAUUUUGUUUUUUUCCUUUUUCUCCCCAAAGCCCCCUGGUACAUAGUUGUAUAUUCUUAGUUGUGGGUCCUUCUAGUUGUGGCAUGUGGGACGCUGCCUCAGCGUGGUUGGAUGAGCGGUGCCAUGUCCGCGCCCAGGAUUCGAACCAAUGAAACACUGGGCUGCCUGCAGCAGAGUGUGCAAACUUAACCACUCGGCCACAGAGCCAGCCUCAUUAAAUUCUUGCACUGCCACAAUUUCUCCAGGCCUUAGGAGGUAGCUCAGGUUUCCUUAAACAACAUCAGCCUGAAAUUUGAAAAAAAAAAAACCCUGCCAAAACCAGCAAACCACAAAACUUGUUUAAUUUGACAACAUUCUCUGUUGGUGAGGUUGUGGGGAACAUUUUGGUAGAAAUCCAAGAUGGGACAACACCUAUGGAUAGGGCAUUAUUGAUUACAAGUGCAUGCAGAUUUAUUCUCUGACCUGGAAUUCAUACUUUGCUAGGUAAAUAAGUUGACAAAGACUAAAAGACUAAAAGAAGUAUGCGCACAGUUGUACAUGACAGCAUAACUGGACGUAGCUCGGGAGAGGAGUUGCCACCCUGGCACGGGAAUUGACCCUGCGUGGCAGAAGGGCUCAGAGCUGCAGUUAUGCAAGAGGGGCUGGAAGAAUCUUGAGGAAAUUGGCUGAUUGAAUUGUGAUCACAAAUGGACAAGGGCAGCUCUGACCCCCCCAGGAAUGAGGGUUGGGUCACGUCUCCAGGGAAGCCACCACGGCCUGCUGAAUGGAUAUCCAGGAGACAGACAAUGAGCACCAGCUAUAGCCCUAAGCCCAACUGCGCUGAUGGAGGCUUCAGUUAGUCCUACUAAGGUCCACUUUCUAAGGUUCACUGCAGAAAGAGAGGCUGGCAGGACCGUGGAGGAGCUGUUGCUGGAGUGUGUAUGGUGAACUGUAUCUGAACAGAGAACAGUGUGGGUUGUGGUGGCCUGGGACUGCGUCACUCAACUCUGCCUGGCUUCCUCUGUCCUUCUACUUCUUUGCACACAAGCAAAGAGGUCCCUUGACUUUCAAACCUGGCUUCCAGUUAAUUGCCUGUUACUCACUUCCGCCCUUCUCUAUCAUCUUGUAGGGCAUCAAUGGUGCUUAGCAACAGCCAUCUCUUACGGACUGAAUUGUGUUCCCCCCAAAUUCGUAUGUUGUAGCCUUUACACUCAGUGUGACUGUAUUUGAAGAAAGGACACUGAAGACAUAAUUAGGGUUAAAUGAGGUCACAAGUGUGGGGCCCUGACCUAAUAGGACUGGGGUCCUUAUAGGCAGAGGAAAAGAUAGCAGAAGUGCUCUCACACAGAGGAAAGGCCAUGUGAAGACCCAGCGAGAAGGCGGCCACCUCCAAGCCCAGGAGAGAGGUCUCACCAGAAACAAGCCUGCUGGCACCUUCAUCUUGGGCUUCUAGCCUCCAGAUCUUUUUCCCACUCACUUGAACAUAUAAUCUUUACUAUGUGAUAAAUUCUGGACUUCUGCUGGAGAAGGCCAUCGAGAGGACAUGACUGCCGAUCAACCCUCAAGCUGGACCUGGGCAAUCCUCACCCUCCUCUGUCCUUGGAAUGUAUGUUCUGCCCACUGUUCCCCCAUGGGAGCCAUUUUCAAGGAUGCAGCUUUGAGAGAGCAAUGUGUUGUUGAGAUCAUCUGGAAGGUGUGUGUGACUGACCCCGUUAAAGCCUCUAUGUAAACUUUUAAGAUUCUGGCUGGCAGGUGUGGAGAUCGAUUCAUCUUGCAGCCGCCCAAGACAAGUCUCAUAGGUCAAUUCCCUUGCUGAUUAAACCUGCCACCUUCCAGUCUGGAGUGGCUGCCUCUUUCUGUGGUCUCUCCUUGCCUUCCAUGUACGGGGGGGCCAGUUUCAGAUUUCACCAAGGGAACUCCUGAUGUUACAAACCAGCAACUUCCUAUUCUGUUCUGUGGCUCUUUUUGCCUAAUCCUGAACUAAUAACACAUUAUUAACUAAUGUAUUAUAAUUAAUUUGUUAAUUAAUAGCACAUUGAUAGGAUAAUACAGCCCAUCCCCAUUCAGUUUUUUCUUUUGGUCAUAGUGUUGUCACAGAUAUGGAUUUAGAUUUUCUGUAGACAAUCCCAUAUUCUGGGUUUGUGUGGUUGCUUCCUGGUGUCAUUUAACAGAUUUUUAUAUCUUCUUCCUAUUUCCUAUCCAUAGACGUUAGUGCUAUGGGCUUGAUUAGACUCAAGUUCCAUGUUUGGGGCAAGAACAUUUCAUUAACGUGCUUCAUAUUGUAUCACUGCAGGAGGGAAGUUGCCUUGUCUCAUUAUUAUUGAUGCUAAAAUUGAUCAAUGGGUUCAGAUGGCACAGCUCAAUCUCACCAAUAUAAUAUCUUAAUAAUAAUAAAAUAAGGUAAGCUUUUACUAAUUGUUCAUGCAUUGACAG
rnacentral:lncRNA from 1 species